GGUUAAGCGACUAAGCGUACACGGUGGAUGCCCUGGCAGUCAGAGGCGAUGAAGGGCGUGCUAAUCUGCGAUAAGCGCCGGUAAGGUGAUAUGAACCGUUAUAACCGGCGAUACCCGAAUGGGGAAACCCAGUGUGAUUCGUCACACUAUCAUUAACUGAAUCCAUA
rnacentral:rRNA from 1 species